rnacentral:rRNA from 1 species
GCGGCUUAAUUUGACUCAACGCGGGGUAAUUUACCAGGUAUAACAUGAUAUAAUAUUUUAUCAUGAUAGUGGUGCAUGGCCGUUUCCAAUGGAUGCUGUGAAGUAAUGAUUAAUUUCAACAAGAUGUGAGACCCUCAUUUAGACAGAUGUAGUGAUACAUAUGAAGGAGAGGAUUAAAACAGGUCCGUUAUGCCCUAAGAUAAUCUGGGUUGCACGCGCAAUACAAUAAUAUUUGAUAUUAUAAGGGAUAAUAUAAUGUAAGAUAUAUUUGAACAUGGAAUUGCUAGUAAAUUUUAUUUAAUAAGUAGAAUUGAAUGAGUCCCUGUUCUUUGUACACACCGCCCGUCGCUAUCUAAGAUGGUAUUAUCUAUGAACAAAUUUAUAAAGUGAAUAGAUAGUACUAGAUCUGAUAUAAGUCGUAACAUGGUUGCUGUUGGAGAACCAUUAGCAGGAUCAUAA